UUCCAGACUCCUACGGGAGGCAGCAGUGGGGAAUAUUGGACAAUGGGGGGAACCCUGAUCCAGCGACGCCGCGUGAGUGAAGAAGUAUUUCGGUAUGUAAAGCUCUAUCAGCAGGGAAGAAAAUGACGGUACCUGACUAAGAAGCCCCGGCUAACUACGUGCCAGCAGCCGCGGUAAUACGUAGGGGGCAAGCGUUAUCCGGAUUUACUGGGUGUAAAGGGAGCGUAGACGGCAGCACAAGUCUGGAGUGAAAUCCCGGGGCUUAACCCCGGAACUGCUUUGGAAACUGUGCGGCUGGAGUGCAGGAGGGGUAAGCGGAAUUCCUAGUGUAGCGGUGAAAUGCGUAGAUAUUAGGAGGAACACCGGUGGCGAAGGCGGCUUACUGGACUGUAACUGACGUUGAGGCUCGAAAGCGUGGGGAGCAAACAGGAUUAGAUACCCUAGUACC
rnacentral:rRNA from 1 species